GCUGGGCAUGGUGGCGCAUGCCUGUAGUCCCAGCUACUCAGGAGGCUGAGGCAGAAGGAUUGCUUGAGCCCAGGAGUGUGAGGUUGCUGUGAGCUAGGCUGAUGCCACGGCACUCACACUAGCCCAGGCAACAAAGCGAGACUCUGUCUCAAAGAAAAAACAAAACAUCAGCUGGGCAUGGUGGCGCAUGCCUGCAGUCCCAGCUACUCAGGAGGCUAAGGCAGGAGGAUCACUUCAGCCCAGGAGUUUGAGGUUGCUGUGAGCUAAGCUGACGCCACGGCACUCUAGCCAGGGCAACAGAGUGAGACUCUGUCUCA
rnacentral:sRNA from 1 species